rnacentral:lncRNA from 1 species
AAAAGACUUCAAAGGUUUUGCAAUAAAUCAACUAGAGGACCCAAACUAAAUCUAUCAACUGAAUUAUAAAGUAAUUUCCACCAUUGACAUUUGUGCAGCUAUCUGCAUAGUAUUUGCAUUAAACUACUUUUAAAAUUUUAUUGUGGGGCCUGGUGUUGGGUUGUAAAUUGAUUACUUUUUUUUUACAGCAAAAAAGGCCAUCUGGAUAGAAAAUAGGGACACUAAAAAUAAG